CAAGUACUUAUUUUUCUUGUCCAUAAUCUGUGAAUCCUGCUGAAAUCAGCUAGACUUUGCUCCAGGAUGAGGGAUUGGUCCAAUUCUGUUCCAUCUUUCCACGCAUCUUUCAUCAGGUUAUUAGGAAAGAGUACACUUCACUGGCUGCUCUACUGGGAGGCUUUAUCUCCAUUAAGUGAACCACAGAGAAAAAAGAAGAGAAGAGUUUUACUUCUGUCAUCUGGUGAUACAUUGCUUUGGUGAAUACAAGAAACCACAGGAUAAGCAACAGGGCUCUUUGGUAAAUUCCACAGGCUCUCCUGAUAGGGCAGCCAAGUCUUUUCCCAGUAGCCAGCCCUUUGCACUAAAACAUGUGGAUUUUAUUUCUAUGGAUGUUGUGAGUGUGGACCUAAACUUCUCUAAGAGAACUUGUAUUUCUCAAGCCUAAAGAUGUAUUACAUUUUUUUGUAUUUGUAUUUGAUCCACAUAAAGAAGGGGAAAAAAAUUUGUGUGUGUGGAUAGCAUUCCAAGAAGGAACUCUAGCCCCAGGAAAGCUGCUAUUUCUGCUCUUCUCCAGCUACCUGCCAACAAUUUGUCCUCAAAAGAGGCUCUUUCUGACUAUUUACAGAUCUGUCACUUACAGAUUGGCAAUUUUCAUGCAUUUCAUUCUGCUUUGCUUUACUUCAUACUGGCAUCAUCUUUAUCAGAAGGAUAUAUAAAUAUAGAUAUAUGGAUAUCGUUUGUCUUCCCUUUCUCCACAUUAACAUAUUCCAUGAGUGCAGGAAGUGAAAUGGCAUCUUUAUUUCAUUACUCUCUGGUCCAUAAUACAUUCCCUGGCACAAAGGGAACACUUAAAUACUUAACUAUCAAAAUAAAAAAAUAAAUAAAAUCACUGGAUAUGGAACAUGCUCAUUAUUAAAUGUUUUUCUAGCACUCUACCAGAAAACUAUCAGCCACUGUUCCACCACGGUGCUUUCCCUCUCUUGCUUCUUGCACCUCCUCUGAUGUUCUUCCUUUUUGUUAGUUCCAGUUCCACAUCACAGUCACGCAAAUGUAAGAGAAUGGAGAAUGCAGUCCUUUCUCAGCUGGGCACAAAGUAAUGCUGAGUGAAACAGAAGUUGUUAUUGUGGAAGAGGUAGGUGCCUGAACUGGGUGUCUCCUGAUAACCUUUCUCCCCAUUGCUCUGUGUCCCAUAUUCAGAGUAGACUCACCAAAGUUCUCCUUUGCUUUCUAGCUUCCAGUCGAUUUUGAAAAAUUCAGAGCAUGGGCAAGACAUAGCAGAAAAAGAAAUUGUGAUUGAUUGGAGUAUUUAUUUUCCUGGCUUCCUCCAUGUGGAGUUGCUAAAGACCGGCUGCAUCUUUCAGCUGCAAUCACAGCUCCUGCCUGGCAGCCUUCUCGGUCUCCAGGACCCCGUAUCUGACCAGUUUCCAACUCAUCUUCACUUGGGAGUUGGCUGUGAAGAGACAGGCAAGUCUCUUCAUCAAGCAGGAGGAAAACAUACAGCGGGAAGGAAAUAUGAAACGACCUCAUUUCUAGUUUAACCCUUUGGAUCUCCUUUGUACCACGUCUCCUUGGAUGAGAAGAGUCUCCCUCUCAUCAGCACAUUAAGGAAUCUACCAUACAACUUCAGUCUUCAGUAUUGCCAAAGACUAGUAACCUAUGCUCCAAGAGUUAAUGACUAUAAGUGCAUCACUGAAGCCUGUAGAAAAAGGCCCUGAUGCCUCCUGCCCUAAUAAUUUGUAUGUGUUUAUUUUUUUCCAUUUGCAAGAUAGAAAACAAACUGGUCUGGUUACAACUAACCAUAGAUUUGCACCAACUAUUAGAAAUGGAUUUUUUUAUCAUCAGUUUUUUUUCAUGUUGUGUUCAUGCUCAUCCCUCAGAUAUUUAUGUUUCAGUCUUGGGUAAUUUAUUUCUAUUUACUUUAAAUUUCCUUAUGAAAUAGUUUCAAUUAUAUCACAGGUUGUUAUAAAUAGUUGGUGUUAAAUUAUAUAGAGGUAUUACAUUGCUACUUAAUGCCUGCAUUUGAUGUGGUUAUUACAAUGGUGACGCUAUAGAUCACCGUAGCAACAAAAACAAGAAUUCAUAGCCUGUUUCAAACAUAAGAGGCUGAAAAUAUUUCAUAGUUAUUGAAAGCUGAGGUAUGAAGCAAUUUAAACAUUUAGCUGCUGAGUAAUUGGGAUCUAGAAAUACAUCAACCUAGAUACUGAAUUUUUAGAAGAGUCAAUAUUGAAUAAUAGCACAGGUCAUUUACUUUUAAUUGUCUAGCCAUCUGAAUGCUUGAGCAUGUGAACAGUAACUUCACCCAUGUAGCUUAUUUAUCUAUGUUUCAUAAACAGGCUACCUUCUGAGAGUUAAUUGUGUGAACAGGAAAAGUCACUACCUAAUAAAUUGAUGUUCAC
rnacentral:lncRNA from 1 species